rnacentral:tRNA from 1 species
GGGGGAGUGGCCGAGUGGUUGAAGGCAGCGGUCUUGAAAACCGCCGAGGUGAGAGCCUCCGGGGGUUCGAAUCCCUCCUCCUCCGCCA